ACGAACGCUGGCGGCGUGCCUAAUACAUGCAAGUCGAGCGAGCUUGCCUAGAUGAUUUUAGUGCUUGCACUAAAUGAAACUAGAUACAAGCGAGCGGCGGACGGGUGAGUAACACGUGGGUAACCUGCCCAAGAGACUGGGAUAACACCUGGAAACAGAUGCUAAUACCGGAUAACAACACUAGACGCAUGUCUAGAGUUUGAAAGAUGGUUCUGCUAUCACUCUUGGAUGGACCUGCGGUGCAUUAGCUAGUUGGUAAGGUAACGGCUUACCAAGGCAAUGAUGCAUAGCCGAGUUGAGAGACUGAUCGGCCACAUUGGGACUGAGACACGGCCCAAACUCCUACGGGAGGCAGCAGUAGGGAAUCUUCCACAAUGGACGAAAGUCUGAUGGAGCAACGCCGCGUGAGUGAAGAAGGGUUUCGGCUCGUAAAGCUCUGUUGGUAGUGAAGAAAGAUAGAGGUAGUAGCUGGCCUUUAUUUGACGGUAAUUACUUAGAAAGUCACGGCUAACUACGUG
rnacentral:rRNA from 1 species